CAGUAGCCACGGGAAUACGUAGGGUGCAAGCGUUAAUCGGAAUUACUGGGCGUAAAGCGUGCGCAGGCGGUUUGUUAAGACAGAUGUGAAAUCCCCGGGCUUAACCUGGGAACUGCAUUUGUGACUGGCAAGCUAGAGUAUGGCAGAGGGGGGUGGAAUUCCGCGUGUAGCAGUGAAAUGCGUAGAUAUGCGGAGGAACACCGAUGGCGAAGGCAGCCCCCUGGGCCAAUACUGACGCUCAUGCACGAAAGCGUGGGGAGCAAACAGGAUUAGAUACCCCCGUAGUCCCUGUCUCUUAUAA
rnacentral:rRNA from 1 species